AUCCAGCUGACGUAUCCCAAAUAGGACGAAAUGCUCAUCCUGGUU
rnacentral:hammerhead_ribozyme from 1 species